UUCCGAGGCCAAAGAACCACGGACUUGUUCAUCGGACUUGUUCGUUAGCUGUUCGGAAAUGUCCGGUACCACGACUCGGACCGAUGUCUGAUCACCAUCCAUUUCGGAAAAAUGGCGGCAAACACGCUGUUUUCACUGAAAGUACGAGAAAUGGCUCCUCCUCGAGGAAGUGUUUCAAGAGUCGACCGCCAGAGCGCACUGUGCACAAAAGCUGAAGCGUUUGCGCGAAGCGGCAAGGCGCGUUCUUCGAAUAGGAUCCAGCCUUCCCUUCCCGAGCCCAUUCCCGGCCGCCAGAGAGAUCCGUACAAGUAUUUCGCCUUUUAACCUUUUCUUCAAGUUCUAAAUGGGACAAGGAGGCUGAUUUGGUGGUCAAUAAAAAUUCAAUCAGGCAUACACUGCAA